GACGAACGCUGGCGGCGUGCUUAACACAUGCAAGUCGAACGGAAAGGCCCUUCGGGGUACUCCAGUGGCGAACGGGGUAGUAACACGUGGGUGAUCUGCCCUGCACCUUGUUAUAAGCCUGGGAAACUGGGUCGAAUACCGAAUAGGACCACGCGCUUCAUUGUGUGUGGUGGAAAGCUGUUGCGGUGUCGGAUGGGCCCGCGGCCGAUCAUCUUGUUGGUGGGAUAAGGGCCGACCAAGGCGACGACGGGUAGCCGGCCUGGGAGGGUGACCGGCCACACUGGGACUGAGAUAGGCAGCAGACGGAUAUGGGAGACAGCGGGGGCGAGCAUUAUCCAGUGGGACCGCGCGUGAUGAAGAGACCUGGGGGGAGGGAUGACGGCUUGUGGGUAGUGAAAAGCUGUAAAUAAGGACGCCGCGGAAGUGACGGUACCUAAAGAAGAAGCACCGGCUAACUACGUG
rnacentral:rRNA from 1 species